CCUACGGGUGGCAGCAGUGGGGAAUUUUGCGCAAUGCUCGUAAGAGUGACGCAGCGACGCCGCGUGAAUGACGAAGGCCUUCGGGACGUAAAGUUCUUUCGACAGGGAAGAAAAUGCCUAUAAGUAACUGUGUAUGUAUUGACGGUACCUGUAUAAGCAGCCCCGGCUAACUCCGUGCCAGCAGCCGCGGUAAUACGGAGGGGGCGAGCGUUGUUCGGAGGGACUGGGCGUAAAGAGCACGUAGGCGGUGUUGUAAGUCAUUAGUCAAAGACUAGAGCUCAACUUUAGUAAGGCUAGUUAUACUAUAAGACUAGAGUAUCAGAGAGGAAUGCAGAAUUCCUGGUGUAGCGGUGAAAUGCGUAGAUAUCGGGAGGAAUACCGUUAGCGAAGGCGGCAAUCUGGCUGGAAACUGACGCUGAGGUGCGAAAGCGUGGGUAGCAAACAGGAUUAGAUACCCUAGUUGUC
rnacentral:rRNA from 1 species